UGCCUUUUCACACUGGGUGAGACCCCAA
rnacentral:piRNA from 1 species